UACGUAGGUCGCAAGCGUUGUCCGGAUUUACUGGGCGUAAAGAGCGCGCAGGCGGCUGGUCAAGUCCGAUGUGAAAUCUCCCGGCUUAACUGGGAAACUGCAUCGGAAACUGAUCGGCUUGAAGGUGGGAGAGGGUAGUGGAAUUCCCGGUGUAGUGGUGAAAUGCGUAGAUAUCGGGAGGAACACCAGUGGCGAAGGCGGCGCUCUGGGCUGGAACUGACGCUGAGGAGCGAAAGCGUGGGGAGCGAACAGG
rnacentral:rRNA from 1 species